rnacentral:snRNA from 1 species
AUACUUACCUGGCAAGGGAGAUACCGUGAUCAAGAAGGCGGUUUACCCAGGGCGAGGCUCAGCCAUUGCACUCCGGCUGUGCUGACCCCUGCGAAUUUCCCAAAUGUGGAAAUCUCGAUUGCAUAAUUUAUGGUAGUGGGGGACUGCGUUCGCGCUCGCCCCUG